GCGCGGCCGCGCCGCCCGCGGAGCGCUCCUUCGCCGCGCUCCUUCGCCGCGCCGGCCAGAGGCAGCGGCAGCCGCGGGACGUCCUGCCCGUCGGGGAGCCCCCGCGCCCGCAGCAGUUGAUGGCGUUUGAGUCUGCUGAAAUAUGGUAAUGGUGGCUGCAUUCUGAGAGCUGGAAGAACUGCUUUCCAGUGGAGAUAGCUGAUCAAAGGAGCGCAACUGGAAGUCAUCAUCCAUUGGGAUAUAAGGAGCCAACAUCUCCAAAUCUAAAUCAGUUUCCUAGAAAACAUAUGAGACAUAACACCACAGAUUUCUGGAAGAAACCAUUCUCCUUUAAGCUGUCCUGAGAAGACAUGCCUAGACCAAGACAUAUGUACCAAAACUUUAACUUCACUAUAUUAUUCUAUAGCAAUAACUUAAAAUGAUUUUCAUUCACUCUACCUCUAACUACUUUUUCCUGUAAGGCAUGCUAAUUCUUUCAACCUUCAAUAAUUCUGUUUGAGUCAUUAAUUUUGUUUUAGAUUAAAGAGCGCUAAUGAAGUUUCAUCUCUCCUACAAUUAGAAUAUUUCCAAAACAUUCUGGCUAUUUCUGUAGUUAAUAUCCUCGAACAAGAUGUGAGAUCUAAAAAAUAAAAUAUAGCAUUUUGUUCUCUCUUAACUCCUUUAUCUGGCAGAUAACCAAACAUGCUAAUGACAACAGGAAUUGCCCUUAACUAAAUUAAAUACAUUUCUUUCUUCUCACCGUUUCUGUGCGUAAGCAUUUCUCUCAGCUCUUCAUGGUCACAUGGAUGAGUGAAAUCAAACACACUAUGCCCCGUCAACUCGAACUGUAAAACAUCAGCAAUCAGAGUGCUGGAAGCAAUCUUACAAACUCCAUAAGCAGUUCAAGGAUUUGGAGGAACAAAGGUCUAAAGCUGCAUUCACAACACACAGAGGAGGAACAGCAGCAGGAGCAGAGCAUGAAACCGUGUUCCUCAGGUGGCCAUGCAGCUUCUCAAGGCUUACAAAGGUUAUAGUUCAACACAGUCUUAGCCAAACCUAAGCAAAAACCUUUUGCUAGGUAUUUCUCAGAAAAGCCUACCAGAAAAUGAGGAUUGCAAAUCAAAGAGGGAAAUAAGACACAUAAUGCACUCAAAGAGACCUACUACAAGACCAACAGCUGACUAAUUCCCCAGACUGAAGUUGCUGACAAGAUCACUAGGCAGCCAUGUGCCUCUCUGCCACAAGGCGGUCCAGGGGAUGCUUCCUAACAGGACAGAGGAGCCAGAGAAAAAAUAGCAUUUAUACAGAAGGCAGUUUUGAUAGAACACUUGGAAAUACUUGAAGUAAAAGCCUCUUACCAUCCCACCCCCCUGUUAUGAACCACCUUACAAGUUGGACCAUCUGAUCACAUCUACACUAGACCUCACUGCACUUAAAAAUAUCAAAGAAUCAUCCUGCUGGUUCCAUCAAUGUAUUACCAAUUAUAAAUACUCCAGCCUUCUCUGAAGAAGGCAAACCAAAGCACCAACAGCACAACGCUAAAAGAUAUCUGCAGUAGACAAAUCUUCCACAGCUAUUUUCCCUGAUUUUCAGCACCUCGCUAGCAAGAAAAAAUACUGUAACAGUGCUUCUGUCACUUACAUCUUUAGGGGACAUGCAGCAAAAUGUAAAUUCUGAUCACUUUUACUGCAGGAAUUCCAAACUUUUUCAAGUUUGAGGAAAUAAUAAAGGCACUAAAAGAAAUCCUAAGCCAAACAAUCCAGAAAAAUCCAGAAGCCAGCCAAGACAGAAUUCUUUAAGCCAUUAAACCACUCUGCCCUCCCUCGACCUGCAGGCAGGUUCUUCUAAAGACUUAGAGAGGUUUCUCCUCCCUUACCUCACCUAGAAAAAGGCACAGCUAUACAAUAUACAAAGGGGUUUGUACUAGCUUUCAACUCUAUUAAUGGUGGCUCAGUUCCACUACAGUUGAAAGAAACUGGCAAACAAAAAGUAAUGGCACGUACAAUUCUAGAGAUCUCACAAAGGUUUAAGAACGAACAGCAGUAGUUCAUUGCCUCUUUCAUAACCUGCAGCAAAGGGCCGAAGCUUCUCAGUCAGAUUUUGCUGCUGGACCUCAGUGGAAGAUAUCAGCAGCAAAAUCCUGGUCUUUCAGAUUACCCUCUUGGGUACCAGAUGUUAAGUUUCAGGCCCCAACUACUAGAAACAGAAGAGCUGAAGUUUUUCUGAAAGACACCUAGGUCAGGAUGUUGUUAUCCAACUCUUGAGACCCAAACUGAGCACUCAAGAAAUUACUUUUAAAAAUCCCAUCUACCAUUUUUAUUUAGCACUCAGAUUAUAAAAUAUAAGGAAUAAUAGAUAUUAUUCUACAAAUAAGAAAUUAAAACAAUCCCAAAUUAAUUUUUGUAGUGCAUCUACUUGCAGCUGCAAGCAGCUACCAAAGUAACUAAUAACCCUAACUGGCUCCUUUACUUAAAACAGCGCAAGAAUCACUCCACUAAGAGCCAACAGUCAUACAACCUGAAGUGGAGACAUUUUUUCAUAGCCCAAGCCAUUUCUACACUAAAAUUUAUUAGAAGUAUAAUGAGAAAAUCAUCAUAUGCCUAAUCAAAAGCCUUAAACUUGGAUGAAAUUAAAUUUAGUAAGAAAAGCUCUCAAUUAGGUUAUUUUACCCACUCUAUACACUGAGAUGAACUCACUGCUUGCAACACGUGGAGAAAAAAAAGCCAGGAGCACAUGAAAAUGAUGCAACUACCAAAGCAGGACGGAUAAAACUCAAAUAGCUGUCAAUACCUAAUCACACUGCAAAAAUACGCAAUGCUUAAGAUUCCAUAAGAAAUCAAGUUAGAGCUACAGAAGUCUGGGACUACAUAAAAGAAUGGUUUCAACAAACCAGUAAACCAAUCCAUGCUUCCAGUUGCUAUUAUGACUAAAUUUCACUUAUUAAUUACAUAAGAGACUGAUUUGCUCAAAUACCAUAAUGUUUGUAUCUCACAGCAUAUGUGAGAUACUGUAAUUAUCAAUAACUGAACAUUACACGGACAGGGGAAAGGGAAAUAAGUGAUCUUAACACAUGCUGAAAGUUAAGGUGUGCCACAUUUACAAUCAACCAAAAUUUUAUCAUUGAAAAACAGGACUGGAAGUUUCUAAAGGUAUUCUUAACAUGCACACAGUCAAACCUAAACCCUUCUAAAACAAUUCAGGCUCAUUGAGAAUCUUGAGCAUUGCUCAAAGGUUCUCUCAUGAGCUCAUAUCCUUCCUUUUUUGCUUAGCCAUCUUUGCUCUACUGCACAUUCAAAGCCUCAAGAUGAGCAUACCGCAGAUACAUUUUCAAUUGUAUUUUCAAUUAAAACACACUCUACAACAGAAGUAGUCAAAAUAUUCCUUCCUACUUUAUAGGAAACAUUCCCAACCUUUAAUUCAGUCUUCAGGAUGCAGAGAAAAACAAAUUCUCUUUCUUAAGCUCUGCCUUUAGGAAGGAAGAGAUAAGCUAUGCAUACUGAUUCUUACAUUCUGAAGAAAGCAGAUUACAUCCAGGAUAAGGAAAUUGCAAAAAAGCACCCAAGUGGGACAGAAUGGUAAGUUAUAAAAAAAAAAAAAAAAAAAAAAAAAAAAAGUUGAAGGACAAAAAACAGGAACAGAAAAAAAGCUAAGUCUCAAAACCCCUUUCUAGACCUGCUGCUAAAAUAGGCCAGCAGAGCAAAGAAUAGAACAAUCAUUUCUGUUGCAACAUUUUCUCUAAGGCUUCUCAAUAGCUUUCAGUCAAAAAAACAAAGGCUACAGAAUUGGUACCACCCCAGGUGCCCCACAGGAUAUAUUUCAUUAGACUAAAAGCUUCUCCUCUCCACUCCCCACACCACUGUAAUAACUUGAAAUUAUCAUUAAGAUGAUACAGUCCUAGAGGUAAAGCGCUCUAUAUUCACAAGCCCAACAUUGCAUUCACAGUUCUAGCUCAGCACAAAGCUAAACAUCCAUUUUAGAAGCCAGUUACUCAGUCUCAUAUCCAACACAAUUUAUACACACUUUACUACUUUAACCUACUCAGAUGACCCUUUGAUACAAGGGCACAGAUAACCAAUCUCAAAAAUGGUAUCGAUAUCAACAUAAACACCGUCUUCUGCAGAUGGAGAUUACAGCAAUUAAUCCCUCCACAAAGAGCCCUGGUGGAACAUCCAAUCUAAAAAUCUGAUCACCUAAAUACUCCAGCUCCAUAACUUUGCUGUGUAACAAAAGCUUUUUGAGGCCUUUAUUUCCCCUUCUUUCUAAUUUGAGCUAACAAUCCUUGGUGAAUUAUUCAUACUUCUCAACUUACAUUGUUCAGCAGCCCUCCCCCCCCCACCAUCUUUUCUUUAAAUAAAUAAAUAAAGAUUUCAAGACUCUAAAAA